AGUGAACGCUGGCGGUAGGCCUAACACAUGCAAGUCGAACGGCAGCACAGUAAGAGCUUGCUCUUACGGGUGGCGAGUGGCGGACGGGUGAGGAAUACAUCGGAAUCUACUUUUUCGUGGGGGAUAACGUAGGGAAACUUACGCUAAUACCGCAUACGGCCUACGGGUGAAAGCAGGGGAUCUUCGGACCUUGCGCGAUUGAAUGAGCCGAUGUCGGAUUAGCUAGUUGGCGGGGUAAAGGCCCACCAAGGCGACGAUCCGUAGCUGGUCUGAGAGGAUGAUCAGCCACACUGGAACUGAGACACGGUCCAGACUCCUACGGGAGGCAGCAGUGGGGAAUAUUCGACAAAGGGCGCAAGCCUGAUCCAGCCAUACCGCGUGGGUGAAGAAGGCCUUCGGGUUGUAAAGCCCUUUUGUUGGGAAAGAAAAGCAGCAGGUUAAUACCCCGCUGUUCUGACGGUACCCAAAGAAUAAGCACCGGCUAACUUCGUG
rnacentral:rRNA from 1 species